UCUUCUAUCCCCUUUCUUGCCUUUCGGUUUCUCUCUAAAAAGGGAAAAGUCAGUGUUGGUUAUUCCUGUUUUCCGUGGGCUGCAUCAGUUGCAUCAUAUUGCAACGGACUCGGUUUACCAGUGGAAUCGUAGGCUGUUUCUUUUGGAGUAGUAAGGGAAAUCCCCAGCCUUAGACGGAUCGGUGCUGCGAGGGAUUCGGAAGUGGCCACACUACUGCUCCUGCUUUAUAUUUGACUUUUAUUUACUAUUAAAUUUCGAAUUGGGUAUUUAUUUAUGUAAUAAGGCCUCUCUAAGGUUUUAACUUUUAAUUUGGGAUUUUUACUUACUUUGAUAUAAACUGCUAGUUGUAGGAAGAAGAA